rnacentral:rRNA from 1 species
CCUACGGGGGGCAGCAGUGAGGAAUAUUGGUCAAUGGACGAGAGUCUGAACCAGCCAAGUAGCGUGAAGGAUGACUGCCCUAUGGGUUGUAAACUUCUUUUAUAUGGGAAUAAAAUGUUCCACGUGUGGGUUUUUGUAUGUACCAUAUGAAUAAGGAUCGGCUAACUCCGUGCCAGCAGCCGCGGUAAUACGGAGGAUCCGAGCGUUAUCCGGAUUUAUUGGGUUUAAAGGGAGCGUAGGUGGUUUGUUAAGUCAGUUGUGAAAGUUUGCGGCUUAACCGUAAAAUUGACAUUGAGACUGGCAGUCUUGAGUACAGUAGAGGUGGGCGGAAUUCGUGGUGUAGCGGUGAAAUGCUUAGAUAUCACGAAGAACCCCGAUUGCGAAGGCAGCUCACUGGACUGCAACUGACACUGAUGCUCGAAAGUGUGGGUAUCAAACAGGAUUAGAUACCCUUGUAGUC